rnacentral:rRNA from 1 species
GACGAACGCUGGCGGCGUGCCUAAUACAUGCAAGUAGAACGCUGAAGAGAGGAGCUUGCUCUUCUUGGAUGAGUUGCGAACGGGUGAGUAACGCGUAGGUAACCUGCCUUGUAGCGGGGGAUAACUAUUGGAAACGAUAGCUAAUACCGCAUAACAAUGGAUGACCCAUGUCAUUUAUUUGAAAGGGGCAAAUGCUCCACUACAAGAUGGACCUGCGUUGUAUUAGCUAGUAGGUGAGGUAACGGCUCACCUAGGCGACGAUACAUAGCCGACCUGAGAGGGUGAUCGGCCACACUGGGACUGAGACACGGCCCAGACUCCUACGGGAGGCAGCAGUAGGGAAUCUUCGGCAAUGGGGGCAACCCUGACCGAGCAACGCCGCGUGAGUGAAGAAGGGUUUCGGAUCGUAAAGCUCUGUUGUAAGUCAAGAACGAGUGUGAGAGUGGAAAGUUCACACUGUGACGGUAGCUUAACAGAAAGGGACGGCUAACUACGUG